CGAGGCCUCGUUUCCAGGAAUGGGCACUAUUUCCGGACAGUGUUUAUAGAGAAGAGAUUGCUGGGCUGACGGAUCGACAGAAGGCGGAGGCGGUAGGGGUGUUGGUGUAACUACACAUGCGCGCUCGGCUUCUGGCAGUCUUCAGGGUUGCUUUCUUCUGGAGGUUACGGGAAGGAAGGGUGAGCGUGCGCAUGCGUGGGCCCCCCUCCCCAACCUAGGACCUGGUUACCUAGGAGACGGCGAGGCGUGCUCUCUCUCCAGGCUUUGGUUGUGUUUCCUCUUUGCUCCGGGCCGUAGCGGCUGAGGCAGGUGUGUUGGUUGUGGAGGGAGCGGGGCGGGGCAGGGGUGUGUAUUUAGAAACACUUAUAUUGAGCACUGGCUGUGAGCCUGGUGCUGUAGAGGCUCUGAGGAUAAGAUAGGUUCUAGUGCCUGCCCUCGAGGAGGUUGGGGGGCUAAAGGCCUACGCAGGUCAGACCUGUGUGUUGAAACCCAGGUCUGGUGAGAGCGUGCGGCUGGCGUGGUGCAAUCCCUUUCCACAGCCAGAGAAGCAACGUGGUGUGAGCGCUGCGUGAAGCAUCUCCUCGCUGGGUUUACAGGUUAUGGAGCCAGAAAGAAGAUUAGAGCUUUACUUAUUUAAAAAAAGGACUUGGAGUCUGGAUAUGCACCAAGGUGUCAACAAUGCUUUUCUCUGAAUGGUGGGUGGGGGUGGGCGUUGGGGAAGGGGUAGGGGAGGUGCUUAAGGGAGGUAUGGAUAUUUUUUCUUUUCUAACUUUUGCUUUUCCAUAUUUUCCAGCGUUACCACAGUGAGCUUGUAUUUUAUUUAUAAUAAAGAAAAUAUUUCCACGCUUAAAAAAAGUUUGCAAAAUAAAAGAUAUGCCCCUACCUGGGCACCCCACCCCAAUAAGUGGUCUACAACAGGCAGGUGUGGUAAGUGGCUCUAAUGGUACGGGUAAGCAGGCCCCAUUCAAGGCUGUCUGGGGAAGUAAGGAUCACCCAAUCUCUGGAAGUGUUGGAGCAAAGACCUGCUCAGGACCACUUUGCAGACAGUGGUUCAUAGCUUGAAGUCUGUUUCUGGAGAUCUGCAUCCAACAGACAUCUUGGUUGUCAGGGGAUACGGAAGACCAUUUAGGCAGAAAACUUAACCAUCUAGAGGCCUCACCCACUCACUCAGGCUAUAGAUAAGUUUUGUUUGGCUGGCCCAAUGUUUUUUUUCAAUUGAAUUUGAAUGCCUUCGAGCAGAGCCUGCAGUUCCUCACAGCCCCAGCCCCCAUUGUCUUACACCCAACCACUUAACCUAUGUCAUUUGCCUGGCCACUAAAGUGUUUGCGCUCAUGGUCCAGAUAGAGCCCAUACUUUGGAGCUGGACAGUCUCUGUUGCAUAAACUGGCUCUGCUACUGACUGACGUGGGAAAUGAUGGGUAAGAAAGAAGCUGGGGGCCCUUAAAGCUGCUUCCAACCACAGGGUUUUCAUUUCUGUGACUCAGGGAGAGGUAGAGCUUGGCCAGAUGGUGGGUUACAGGUCAGUAUCAGCAAGCCUGGAUGCAGGGCUUGCCUCUUCCACCACCUGUUUGCCUCUGGGCACACCGCUUCUCAGGAAAGAUGUGGGCACAGGGCCAGAGUCUGCAGACAUUCCCUGGCCUGCCUUUGCCUUCUCCCUCUUUCACCAUUCCUUCUUUACGACACCCAGUGCCCAUGUACUUUACCCAGCUUCCCUCGACACUUCUCUCGGUCCCCGCGACGACCCACCCACCCUAUCAAUAUUAUCUGUCUUUAAAUCUAUCCACUAACACUAAUGUGUAUUACUGGGAGAGAGUGAACCUGUUGACCCAAAGUUGCAACUCCCAAGAAGGAAUUUCACAUCAGGUUGCAGGAGAGGAACAAACCUCUACAGACUAGUGAGGACAAGAUUUGGGACUCCUGGUUUCAGCUACUUUCCCCAGGCCUUUCCAAGCCCAACUGUGUGUGAGGUGAGGUAAGAAACAACAUGAUACUCACUGCAAGUGAGCACUGAGCACUUCUGAGCCUUGAAAUGCUGGCAUCUUCUGGAAGGAGAGCUUCAGGGUAAAAUUAGUUCCCUCCAGCCCAGCUAGUUGAGUCACGACAACCUGGGAAGGCUUCUAGCCCUGAGUCAGUUGUGCAGCCUCAGCUCUGCUUUAAAUAAAAUAAGUUGGUAUUUAUGGGAUGACUCACACCUGGAGCAGUGAGCUGGGUUCUCAGCACUCAAGGAUUUCCGCAUCCCACUCCCAUGGUUCAAGUCCGGCAAUGGAAGGGCAAGACUAUGCUCUUCCACAAAGAAUAGUAGCUUCUGUUUUUUGAGAGCUUAUAAAAAAUAAACCAGAUGUUUCUAAGUGCUUUGUAUGCAUAAUAACCUCGCUAAAUAUUCACUCCUGUCUAGGGUUUCCCAACCUGGCACCACUGACAUUUUGGAUUGGAUAGUUCUUUGUUGUGGGGAGGCUAUCAUAUAUAUUAUACGAUGUUUAAGAGCAUUCCUGCCCUCUGCCCACUUGAUGCCAGUAACACCACCCUCCUACACCCAGUUGUGACAAGAAAAAAAAUGUCUUCAGACAUUGACAGGUGUCCCAAAGGGAGCAAAAGUGCCCCCAGUUGAGAACCUUUGCAGUCUAACCUCACAGAAUAAUAACUAUUAUUAUCAUCCCCACUUCACAGAUGAGGAAACUGAGGCUCAGAGAAAAGUGACUUGCCCAAGGUCACUUCACUGUAAUAGAAGAUCUGGGAUUUAAACCAGGUGUGACCCAGAGCCCCUGCUCUCCUGCAUGCAGGACUCUGCAAAGAGACUGUGGGCUUCAAGGAGCAAAUUGCCCAAUCACUUCUGUAGAAGAGUGAUGAAGAGUGAGUGAAUUCUGUGCAUCAGUGAGAGAAUGCCAUUCUUGGAUCAUUUCUCCUUUUCUGUUUGCUUUGGAAGAAAGGCAAUUAUAUUCUGGUUUUUAUUGCCUUGGUCAGCGCAGUUCAUGGUGUCCAGCAAUGUCUAGUGGGAAAGUAGCUAGUGAAUCAUCUCUGUGUCCGUGGGUCUUAGGCCCCACUUUCCUGGGAGAUCCUGAAGUUAUGCUUGAAAAGAACUCGGAUGUGAGGCUGAGAUCAGAGAGGACUGGGGGUUGGGAAUGGAUGUUCCUGAAGGAGAAGCAGCUUUCUUUCUCCAUCAGGGACCUGGCCGAGGCUGCAGCUGUAGUGCUGUUGCUGCCCUCCCGGGCUUGGACCUGCCCCGUUGCUGCCACCCAGUCCAGAGGGGGAGAUGGAAGGGGGCAUGGCGAGCCACAGAGCUAUGGGACAAGAGGAGGAGCCCCGGUGACGUGGCUGAGGAGAGACGUGUUCAUCUCCACAAAGGAUGGAGCUGCCUGGGUGGGGGUCUCUGGAACACUGGGCAAAAUUGACCUUACCAAGAGGUCAUCUCCUGGGCGUACCUGAGACCCCUCCUGACCUUGGAGCCCUCUUAGGCUUCUUAGGGAGCCCUGGGUUAAGGCUUGACUCAAAUUCUUCUCACUUCCUGAUGGGUUAUCCCCUGCUAGCUCACCUCCCUGCCUCCAGUCUCCUCUCAACGUCAUUCUCAACCCUUCUGGUGGAUUUCAUCCUCCUAAGAGACCACUUAGGUCAUGUGUUCUAGCCCCAGUGUCUCCACAUCUCUUGCCUUUCAAUUCCUCACCUUUACCUUUUUCUUCUCAACCUCCAAAUGUUAUCGAGUCUCCCCAGCCAAAAAACAGACCAGUAAAGAAAAAAAAACCCUUCCCCUGUCUCGACUUUCCCCUCUCAACUCCCAAACUUCUUGGUACUCCUGGUGUCUGCUUCAUCUCCCACUUGUGUGUAACCCCGGCGGUCUGUUUUUUGCCCACUAUCCCUUCUCUCCAUGGAUACCCCACUAACCGCCUCUGAGUCAGAUGACCUUGUCUUAGCUCCCAUAUGCAGCCAGCUACAGAUGUGAUGCUCCGGGCACCUACUGUGUCAGGCCCUGGGGAGGGAGUGCGGGACCUCCAGACCAGUCCCUGCCCUGCCCUUAGGGAACACCCUUCCCAAGGGUGGACAGACCUUGAAAGGUGACUACAGAUGAGGACCGAAAUCAUUCCAGGUGAUGAGGAUGUUGAGAGGAUGGACAGAGUGUACUGUAUCAUGCAGGGCCCAACCAGGGAAACAGAACUCAUUCCGAGUUUUUAAACAUGGAAUUUCACACAAGGAAUUGGUUACACAGAGGUUGGAAGAGCUGAGAAACCCAGGAGGAGAUGGCAAGGUAACCAGGAAUCCACUAUUAGUCCUGGGUUGGGGGGAAAACAGUGUAAUCAGUGGCGGGGGGGCCAGGGUCACUUGGAAGAAGUUGGAACCACAGAGAAGAUACAAUCCACUUCCAUAGAUACCACUCAGGACUGAGCGGGAUGAAGAUUCUCCUCUCCUUCCACGUUCCACCCUCUGGUCUCCUGCCAGAGCCUCUCAUUGGUCCGGAGCCUGCAGGGGUCAGUCACCUGCAGUGCAGAGCAGAGAAGGUGAGGACCAGAUGGGAGGGCAACAGCCCAGGACCACCACCAGGAUGGGAUGGGAGAGGAUGAGGGGGCGACUGACUUAGCGGAGGGGGCUCAGAGAAGGCUUCCCUGAGGAACUAAGCUGAGACCUGCAAGGUGAAGGGGAAUUGGAGGAGAAAACGUUCCGAGCAAUAACUGACAUUUUAAAAAGACUAAUUUUUUUAGAGCAUGAGGUUCCCAGCAAAAUUGAGCAGAAGGUGCAGAGAUUUGCUAUCUACCCCCUGCCCCCGCACACGCACAGCCUUCCCACUAUCAGCAUCACACACCAGAGUGGUACCUUUGUUACAGUCGAUGAACCUACAUUGACACGUUGUAAUCACCCAAAGUCCACAGUUUAUAUUAGGGUUCACUUUUGCUUGUAUGGUCUAUAAUACAGUCUAUGGGUUUGGACAAGUGUAUGAUGACAUGUAUUCAUUAUUAUAAUACCAUACAGAGUAUUUUCACUGCCCUAAAAAUCCUCUGUGCUCUGCAUGUUCAUUCCUCCCUCCUCCCACCCCACCACCCCAAACCCUGGCAGCCACUGAUAUUUUUACUAUCUCCAUAGUAAUAAAUAAAUAAAUUGUGAUACAUCCAACCAAUGAAAUACUAUUCAGCGCUAAAACGGAAUGAGCUAUCCAACAUGAAAUGACUUAAAUGCAUAUUACUUAAAAGACUUCUAUGCGUAUUACUAAGGGAAAGAGGACAAUAUGAAAAGAUUCCAUAUUGUAUGAUUCCAACUAUAUGACAUUCUGGAAAAGGCAAAAGUAUGGAGACAGUAAGAAGGUCAGUGGUAUUUUUUUGCCCAUUCUCUUCCUGAGGCUUCACGGAUACUGUACUUUCUGUCUCUGUUUCUUUCUCCAGUUCUUUUUUUUUGUUUUUUCGGCCGUGCUGCGCGGCUUGUGGGAUCCUAGUUCCCUGGCAUUCCCUCUUUCUCCCAUUCUUAAAGACUGAGGCACACCCCAAGUUUCAGUCCCAAGCCCCCCACUUCUCUGCACUUUCUCCUUUGGAGUUCUCAUCCACUCCUAACUUCACUUAAUCAUUCUACAAACAUUAAUUGAGCACCUGGUGUGUGCCAGACACUUGAGUUGGCCCCUGGUGACAGUGAGAGAUGAAUGAGUCAUGAGGCCCGCCCUCCAAGAGGAGAUGGACAAUGUGGCAAUACAAUGUGGACGGUAGUAGGAAGUCCUGGGUGAGGUAAGAACACAUAGAAGAGAUCAAAGAAGGCUUCCUGGAGGAGGUGACCCUUGAGCCGAUUGCUGCCAGGUACGCUAGCAGUGAGCCAGGUGAAUGAGGCGGGAAGAACAUUCAGGUGGAAGGAAUAACAUGUGCACAGGCAGACAAGGGGCCUGUCAAGGCACAUUGUGGACUUGGGUGUGGAAUGCAAGGGAUGCGGGGAGAGAGAGAGCCUCAGGCUGGCCCCGCAGGCUUUGAUCUGGAUUGCAGAGGGCCUUAUAUACUUAGUAGGUUGGGCUGGGGAAAAGACAACAUUUCUAGAACACAAUUUCAUUAAAAAAUUUUUUUUCUUU